UCUCUGCUAAUAUGAAAGUAGAAGUAUGGAGGGUGAGGCCUGCCCAAUGGUUGUAUCUAAAAAAGAGCUGAUAAAAGUCAGCUUUAUAAGGACAAUUGAAUGGCCGCGGUAACACUGACCGUGAUAAUGUAGCGUAAUCAAUAGUCAAUUAAUUGUUGGCCGGUAUGAAUGGCGUCACGAGGGCCCCACUGUCUUAAGAAGACCUCCCAUGAAAUUGAAUUCGUAGUGAAGAUGCUACGUCCAAAUUGUAAGACGAAAAGACCCCAUUGAGCUUUACUAGAAACUUGCAUAGCUUUACCUUUGGUAAAAAGUUUAGAUAAUGUGGGGCCGUUAAGGCUAAUGAAACACCACUCUUUUUAUUUUUUUAAGAAAGCUAACCUCCAGGACAAUGCAAGUUUGAUAGUUUGGUUGGGGCGACCACCUUUUAAAAGGUAACGAAGGUGAGCUUAAGGUCCGUAGUUAAUAACAAGUGGCCUGACUGAAAGGGAACACCCGAACAGACACUGGAAUCCAGUGGGUUAUAAUGACCCGUCGUCUUAGAGUGAUAUAGGCGACGAUCAACGGAUAAAAGCUACCAUGGGGAUAACAGCGUAAUAUCGUUAGAGAGUUAAAUCAACAACGAU
rnacentral:rRNA from 1 species